UCCUAAUACACGUUAAGAGAAAGAACAAAUUUUGUACAAAAACUGUUAGGGAUCUUAAAAUUAUUAUUAUGGACUUGGAUUGAAUGAUGGCGUCACUUCUCAGUUCUCUGGUUUGGGGCAUUUUCCAUAGUCCUUGGAGCUUUAAUUUUUCUCAUCAGUGACCAAGGUUUCUAAUACCUACCUUUCAGGUUGGUUAUGAGGUCACAUUGAAUUAACAAAGAAUCUGGCUGAGUUCCUGAUGGUUAAUACAUGGCCAUCCCUCCAUAAAAUGAAACCCUUGGAGCAAGAGACAGUUUUAAAUUGAUAGCUUGAUACAAUGAGGGAAAUGUGGAAAUGAGGCUCCCAACCUGGAUAAUUGUAUCGGUUGAAUUGGGCAAAGUCAUUUCUCUUCUUGACCUCAGUUUCAACACUGGCAGAGAGAGUUGGGUAGGAGUCUAACCAGGACCAGAAGGUAGAGACCUCGAGAAGCCAAGCACUGUGAAAAACUAGGUCCCCGUCACUAUGCUCAUGACAAAGCCACUUCGCAGGGGAAAGGAGGAUGUGGAUGAUGUUGGAUGUUCUUCUUCCCCAAUCAGAAAGGUUCACAGCAGCUAAAGAGGAGGACACUGGUGGGAAAGGUGGAGACAGUGAUGCUCACCAAGUUUAAAUAUCUUGCUGAAAUUCAUAUGCCUUAUAUAUGAAUGGCUGGAAUCUGAAUCCUCCAUGAACAGUAAUUCCAAGAUUGCUUUAGUGACGAUACACACACAGAGAUACUGCCAAUGUCUGUUUCUCAGCACAUGGGAAAGUAAGUUUGACUAAAAAGCCUCUGCUUGGAAAGAUUCAUUAGGGCUGGAUUAAAAUCCUGGCUAACUAACCAGCAUGAAAAUUCAGUGAAUUCUUUAACUUUUAGCAUCUUCAU
rnacentral:lncRNA from 1 species